AGUGAACGCUGGCGGUAGGCCUAACACAUGCAAGUCGAACGGCAGCACCGUAAGAGCUUGCUCUUACGGGUGGCGAGUGGCGGACGGGUGCGGAAUACAUCGGAAUCUACUUUUUCGUGGGGGAUAACGUAGGGAAAUUUCCGCUAAUACCGCAUACGACCUACGGGUGAAAGCAGGGGAUCUUCGGACCUUGCGCGAUUGAAUGAGCCGAUGUAGGAUUCGCUAGUUUGCGGGGUAAAGGCCCACCAAGGCGACGAUCGGUAGCUGGUCUGAGAGGGAGUUCAGCUAGACGGGAACUGAGAAUCGUUCCAGACUCCGACAGUGGGCAGCAGUGGGGAAUAUUGGACAAUGGGGGCAUGCCUGAUCCAGCCAUACCGCGUGAGUGAAGAUGGCCCUCGGGUGGGAAAGCCAUGAUGGUGUGAGAGUUGUGCAGCAGGUUAAUACCCCACGGUUCUGACGGUACCCGAAGAAUAAGCACCGGCUAACUUCGUG
rnacentral:rRNA from 1 species